rnacentral:rRNA from 1 species
UACGUAGGGUGCGAGCGUUAAUCGGAAUUACUGGGCGUAAAGCGUGCGCAGGCGGUUCGUUGUGUCGGCGGUGAAAGCCCCGGGCUUAACCUGGGAAUGGCCGUUGAAACUGGCGAACUGGAGUGUGGCAGAGGGGGGUGGAAUUCCGCGUGUAGCAGUGAAAUGCGUAGAGAUGCGGCGGAACACCGGUGGCGAAGGCAGCCCCCUGGGCUUAAAUUGACGCUGAGGCACGAAAGCGUGGGGAGCAAACAGG